rnacentral:lncRNA from 1 species
AUCGCAGCUGACUGCAGCCUCAACCUUCCAGGCUGAAGCGAUCCUCCCACCUCAACCUCCCACGUGGCUGAGACUACAGGUGCUUGCCACUAUGCCCAACUAACAUUUGGAAUUUUCGUAUACGUGGAUUCCAGAGGGGUGACAGCGAAACCUGCAGGACAAGUUCGAGCAUCUUAAAAUGAUUCAACAGGAGGAGAUAAGGAAGCUCGAGGAAGAGAAAAAACAACUGGAAGGAGAAAUCAUAGAUUUUUAUAAAAUGAAAGCUGCCUCUGAAGCACUGCAGACUCAGCUGAGCACCGAUACAAAGAAAGACAAACAUCCUGAUCCAUAUGAAUUCCUCUUAUUAAGAAAAAUAAAGCAUCCAGGAUUCAAUGAAGAACUGACUAUCACCUUGUUAAUCAUUCAGAAACAUGUUGCAGGCUUAAGCCAUUUUUGAUAUAGAUACUGAAACAAUUACUUGCUAAGAGCAAACUUGAAGGUAUGGAUAAGGCCCUGAGUCAUCUUCCUGAGCUGAAUGAUAGUUAAGCUGAAUGUACGUAUAAAAUAUGAUUUUCUAACCACUUGCUCGCCAACAAGGAAAACUUUUAAGUAGAGCAGAACCUGAAUAGACAAGACAUUUCUUUCUUUUGGUAGAAAAUGAUUUACCAUCACUGUGUAGUUAAUUGUAGACUAGGUAAUUUUAACUUUGUGAUUUAUUGCCGGAGACAUUUUCUUCUGUACUGUAAAGUGUGUGUC